rnacentral:rRNA from 1 species
UACGGAGGGUGCAAGCAUUGAUCGGAAUUACUGGGCGUCAAGGGCGCGUAGGCGGCGAAGUAAGUCAGAUGUGAAAUUCCGGGGCUCAACCCCGGAGCUGCAUUUGAAACUGCUUUGCUUAGAGUGUAGUUAGGGAAAACGGAAUUCCACGUGUAGCGGUGAAAUGCGUAGAUAUGUGGAAGAACACCAGUGGUGAAGACGGUUUUCUGGGCUAUAACUGACGCUGAGGCGCGAGAGCUAGGGGAGCAAACAGG